GACGAACGCUGGCGGCGCGCUUAACACAUGCAAGUCGAGCGAGAACCGGACCUUCGGGUCCGGGGACAGCGGCGAACGGGUGAGUAACACGUGAGUAAUCCACCCUUGGCACCGGAAUAGCCCGGGGAAACUCGGAUUAAUGCCGGAUGGCCCGACAGCCUCUCGGGGCGGUCGGAAAAGAUAGCUUCGGCCUUCGGCCAAGGACGAGCUCGCGGCGGAUUAGCUUGUUGGCGGGGUAACGGCCCACCAAGGCGACGAUCCGUAGCUGGUCUGAGAGGACGAUCAGCCACACUGGGACUGAGACACGGCCCAGACUCCUACGGGAGGCAGCAGUGGGGAAUCUUGCGCAAUGGGCGAAAGCCUGACGCAGCGACGCCGCGUGAGGGAAGAAGGCCUUCGGGUUGUAAACCUCUUUCAGGAGGGACGAGGCCACUCGGGUUAAUAGCCCAGAGGGUGACGGUACCUCCAGAAGAAGCCCCGGCUAACUACGUGCCAGCCGCCGCCGUAAAAC
rnacentral:rRNA from 1 species